rnacentral:rRNA from 1 species
GACGAACGCUGGCGGCGUGCUUAACACAUGCAAGUCGAACGGAAAGGCCCUGCUUUUGUGGGGUGCUCGAGUGGCGAACGGGUGAGUAACACGUGAGUAACCUGCCCUUGACUUUGGGAUAACUUCAGGAAACUGGGGCUAAUACCGGAUAGGAGCUCCUGCCGCAUGGUGGGGGUUGGAAAGUUUCGGCGGUUGGGGAUGGACUCGCGGCUUAUCAGCUUGUUGGUGGGGUAGUGGCUUACCAAGGCUUUGACGGGUAGCCGGCCUGAGAGGGUGACCGGCCACAUUGGGACUGAGAUACGGCCCAGACUCCUACGGGAGGCAGAAGUGGGGAAUAUUACACAAUGGGCGGAAGCCUAAUGCAGCACCGCCGCGUGCGGGAUGACGGCCUUCGGGUUGUAAACCGCUUUCGCCUGUGACGAAGCGUGAGUGACGGUAAUGGGUAAAGAAGCACCGGCUAACUACGUG